rnacentral:misc_RNA from 1 species
GAAAUGCGAUAAGUAAUGUGAAUUGCAGAAUUCAGUGAAUCAUCGAAUCUUUGAACGCACCUUGCACCCUUUGGUUCUCCAAAGGGUAUGCCUGUUUGAGUGUCAUUGAAAUCUCACAUCUAAUAUUUUUUUUUUUUUUGGAAAGUAUUAGAAGGUGGACUUGGACAUUGUAGUUUGAUAAAGACUACUUGUCUUAAAUGUAUUAGUAGUGCUAUUUGUUUAACUAUUAGCCUUGUGUGAUAAGUAUCUUCACUAGGUUGUUAUACAAGUGUUUAUACUGCUUAUAACAGUCCAUUAACUUGGACAAUUAACUGUCAACUUUGACCUCAAAUCAGGUAGGACUACCCGCUGAACUUAAGC